rnacentral:rRNA from 1 species
ACUCCUGCGGGAGGCAGCAGUGGGGAAUUUUGGACAAUGGGCGAAAGCCUGAUCCAGCCAUGCCGCGUGCAGGAUGAAGGCCUUCGGGUUGUAAACUGCUUUUGUACGGAACGAAACGGCCUUUUCUAAUAAAGAGGGCUAAUGACGGUACCGUAAGAAUAAGCACCGGCUAACUACGUGCCAGCAGCCGCGGUAAUACGUAGGGUGCAAGCGUUAAUCGGAAUUACUGGGCGUAAAGCGUGCGCAGGCGGUUAUGUAAGACAGUUGUGAAAUCCCCGGGCUCAACCUGGGAACUGCAUCUGUGACUGCAUAGCUAGAGUACGGUAGAGGGGGAUGGAAUUCCGCGUGUAGCAGUGAAAUGCGUAGAUAUACGGAGGAACACCGAUGGCGAAGGCAAUCCCCUGGACCUGUACUGACGCUCAUGCACGAAAGCGUGGGGAGCAAACAGGAUUAGAUACCCUGGUAGUCCCA